rnacentral:sRNA from 1 species
CGUCCAUGAUCUGCGGGCAGAUGAAGUGCACGUGGCAGUCGAUACCGCCGGCCGUCAGGAUCUUGCCGUUGCCCGCGAUGAUCUCCGUCGACGCCCCGAUCACCAGGUCGGGAUGUACCCCGUCCAUCGUGUCGGGAUUUCCGGCCUUGCCCAUGGCUACGAUGCGGCCGUCGCGGAUUCCGAUGUCUGCCUUGAUGAUUCCCCAAUGGUCAAGCACGACCACGCCGGUGAUGACGGUGUCGGGCGCGCCGUCGGCGCGGGUGGCGCGACUCUGCCCCAUCGAUUCCCGGAUG